rnacentral:rRNA from 1 species
CCUACGGGAGGCAGCAGUGGGGAAUAUUGGACAAUGGGGGGAACCCUGAUCCAGCGACGCCGCGUGAGUGAAGAAGUAUUUCGGUAUGUAAAGCUCUAUCAGCAGGGAAGAAAGAAAUGACGGUACCUGACUAAGAAGCCCCGGCUAACUACGUGCAAGCAGCCGCGGAAAUACGUAGGGGGCAAGCGUUAUCCGGAUUUACUGGGUUAAAAGGGUGCGCAGGCGGUCUGUUAAGUAAGCGGUCAAAGCCCGGGGCUCAACCCCGGCCCGCCGUUGAAACUGGCAGUCUCGAGUUGGAGAGAAGUAUGCGGAAUGCGCGGUGUAGCGGUGAAAUGCAUAGAUAUCGCGCAGAACUCCGAUUGCGAAGGCAGCAUGCCGGCUCCACACUGACGCUGAGGCACGAAAGCGUGGGUAUCGAACAGGAUUAGAUACCCCGGUAGUC